AUUGAACGCUGGCGGCAUGCCUUACACAUGCAAGUCGAACGGUAACAGGUUAAGCUGACGAGUGGCGAACGGGUGAGUAAUAUAUCGGAACGUGCCCAGUCGUGGGGGAUAACUACUCGAAAGAGUAGCUAAUACCGCAUACGACCUGAGGGUGAAAGCGGGGGAUCGCAAGACCUCGCGCGAUUGGAGCGGCCGAUAUCAGAUUAGGUAGUUGGUGGGGUAAAAGCUCACCAAGCCAACGAUCUGUAGCUGGUCUGAGAGGACGACCAGCCACACUGGGACUGAGACACGGCCCAGACUCCUACGGGAGGCAGCAGUGGGGAAUUUUGGACAAUGGGCGCAAGCCUGAUCCAGCCAUGCCGCGUGCGGGAAGAAGGCCUUCGGGUUGUAAACCGCUUUUGUCAGGGAAGAAAAGGUUCUGGCUAAUACCCGGGACUCAUGACGGUACCUGAAGAAUAAGCACCGGCUAACUACGUGCCAGCAGCCGCGGUAAUACGUAGGGUGCAAGCGUUAAUCGGAAUUACUGGGCGUAAAGCGUGCGCAGGCGGUUAUGCAAGACAGAGGUGAAAUCCCCGGGCUCAACCUGGGAACUGCCUUUGUGACUGCAUGGCUAGAGUACGGUAGAGGGGGAUGGAAUUCCGCGUGUAGCAGUGAAAUGCGUAGAUAUGCGGAGGAACACCGAUGGCGAAGGCAAUCCCCUGGACCUGUACUGACGCUCAUGCACGAAAGCGUGGGGAGCAAACA
rnacentral:rRNA from 1 species